rnacentral:lncRNA from 1 species
AUUUUUGGUCAGCUCUCGGGUAGCCUUUAGCAGAGCUUGUACCGGUACAAGGUUGAUGGCUGUACCGGUACAAGGCUGGUGGCUGUACCGGUACAAGGCUGGUGGUUGUACCGGUACAGGGUAGUACAGGGCCGGUUACCCCGCCAACCCGAGCCUCGGGUUGUGAUUUUCGUGGGACUUGUACCGGUACAAGGGCCCGUGUACCGGUACGAGGAGGCUGAUUUCGUGCUGUUUGAACUGUAGAGGUGUUUUUGCAAUUGUGGACCUCUUAUUUGAACCCCCCACGCCCUAAGGGCUUCUCCUGAGCUUGGGACCAGCAAGAGGAGAGGUAAGGGAGCCUUCACACCCUCCCCCUCCAUUUCUUUGAUUUUGGUUGGGUUUUUAAGAGAUUAAACCCCUCUUUUGCUUUUUUUUGGUUAUUGGAGGCAUUUCCACUAUUAGAGCUUGGGCUUGGAGCUUGUUGGAGGAGAGAUUCUUGGACCUUAAGGACUUUGAACCUUGUUGGAAGCUUCUAAGAGGUUGGUAGCUUAUUCUCUCCCUCUAGAUUUUGGUUUUGAAGCUUUAUACUAGAUGAAACCCUAGAAUGAGAGUUUAUGGUUGUUUUUGGGGCUUUUUGAUUAGAGGCUUUUGGAACCAAUCUAAUGGGAUUAGAACUUUGUAUUAGGUUCCUUUGAAUGAGAUUUGGCCUCCAUCUGAACCUUGGAGAUGGAUUUUUACUCAUUAGGUGAGUUUUAGCCCUUUUGCUAUAAUUGUUAAUGUUUGAUCUUAUAGUUGAUCGUAAUGCCCGUGUAUCUCUUCGCUCAAUACUUUUAGGGUGAUUUGAGACUCGUGGACAACUUCGUUCGGCGAGACGAGGCAAUACGCGACGGUUCGGUGGGUUUGACCUAGCCACACAAUCAGAAAUUCUCAUUUGUGAUGAUUUAAGUAUCGUUAAUUGAAAAAGCAUGCAUAUUCUUGUUAUAUGCAUUUAUUGUGAAUUUUAGAAUGCUUAAAAUGCCUAUGUUACAUAUGAUGAAAUUUUGGACCUCUAUGUAGUAGAGAGUUGCUUGGGAGAUUUAUAGUUGCAUUUAGCAUUCUAUAUGAGACUUGGUUUCAUACUUCUAUAGUGUAAAUGAGCUUGGAUUCAUGCAUUUAAACUUAAGUUUAUUUGAGACAUGAAAGAUGACAAAAUUGCCAUAGAGGGGUAUCGAACUAGAAUGCAUGUGAAUUGGUGAGCUAAUGUCAUUAAGCGGCAUUGAGCUCGGAUUAUGUGUGAACCUAGUGGUUAGAGCCAUUGCGGGAUUUGGUUUAUGUUGAACAUUAAAUUGCCUAAGUGUCAUCAAGGGGCACUAGGCGUAGUGAGUGUUUGGAACUUCGCUUUGUGACUUAACUAGAUCUUCGGAAUGCUAGUGACGAUACCAUGUUAGAGACAUGAAGUUUGGGUACUUGAGACUUGGACUAUGCUUGCUUGCCAUUUGUGCUCAUUCGCACAUGCUUGUGAGGGUCGCUCCCUACAAGCCGGCACUUCGGAGUUAGCCUACGCGACCUAUGUUCGCUCGUGCGGUAUUGAGAAGCCUACGGGGUCGAGUGGGACAGACACAUUCCAAGAGUAGGAAUGUUGGGCUACUACAGGCACUUAGGCGGCACAAGCUGAACUACCUUUGGUAGGUCCUUAAUUGGAAAUGAAAAUCGACACGAUGUUGAGUUUAUUAUAAUCACUACUAGAUAGAGAAUAGUAGUUGGAUUACGUGGACUUGCUUUUAGCAUAGUUUUGGGUACUUGGAUAUACAUACAUGCAUGUAGCAUACUAGGAGAUGUUGCCUAUCGCAUUCAUACAUACAUUAUUGCCAUGAUAAAGCAUGAUCUUCAUAAUUUCAUAAAACAAAUAAUGAUUAUUACUUGUGGUCAUGUCAGGACGUACUUGUUCAUAAUGAAAUAGGUGUGCAUCAUAUUUGACACAAUGUAGUACCUUAGUAUGUUUAUUUAUGCUUUCAUAAAUGCACUUUAUUCAUUACUAUUGCUCUUCCUUGACUUACCUUUUUCUUUUGGGGCCUAGUGAUGCAUUGAGCUGAGGUCAGUAAUUGCCCACUGGGAACUAUAAAUUAUAGUUCUCACGCCCUCUGUUUUAUGUUUUCUUUCAGAGCCUUCCACGCUGGGAGAGGCUAGGGACCGAGGGAAGGGAGUUGCUUCGAGCUAGCUUUCUUCGAGGGCGAUUUGAUAGGUGGUCUACCUCUCGUGGUUUUAUUUUGUGAGAGGUUGUGAGUUGUACCCGUAUAUGUAUAGAGACCACCCUUCGUUUGGAUCUUUGUAUUUCUUUUGAGGAGAUAGCAUUGUAUCACUUUGUGCUUUACUUUCAUUGUCUAGUUAUGUUUCUUUUACUCUGGUUUAGAUGAUGGAACUUUACUCGCUCUGAUAUCAUUAGUUGUUAUUAUUCUAUUUGUUCUAUUUAUUGCUUUUACUUUCGCUUUUAUUGUAGACGCCUUAUAUGUGUAGACAUAUGACGGGUCUGGGCACGCUACCGGGAGGGCCUCCGCCGAUCCCGGGGCGUGACAGAUUAAUUUGGUAUCAGAGCCUAGGGUUAAGUCUUAGUGGACCUUGCAAACCUUAGGCCGGUUGGACUAUAGGAAUUAGGCUCGUGAGAGACGAGGUCUAAUUGACUUGUGAGCAAAAGUAUUUCGAUUGGGUUUAUGAUAACUCUAAAAAGUUAGAGUUUGAUCGGAGUGUAUGGCUUCUAACUUCGCGGAGGGUUACGUUGGCGGCCGACAACGUAACAUCGGGAGUUAGCAGUGAAGGACACUUUCUUACUUUCGCAUGAUUUGGGUUUUAUCUAUUUGAGCGGGGUUGCGAUAGCGUGGGUUACUAACUUGCGCUUUUAUGUUUUGUAGUGACGAUGCCGGUUACACGCUCCCAGUCUGCCGGGGCGGAUGAUGCGGCACAUCCCGAGGAGGUCUAGACCUCCGCUACUUUCGGAUCUAGUGAGGUCCGUGACUUGAGGGCCCAGCUUGCGGUUCUCACUGAUCUGUUGGCGCAGCAGACGGCAGCGGCGCCGCGACAGGCUGAGGUGGCUCAGCGGCAGGAGGCACGGAUGAAGCAUCUUGAGGACCUUCUACUUCUGCAGGCGGCAGCUUCGAGGGAGACCCAAGGUCCCACACCGCCAGCACCCGUGGUGGACGUCGCACCGAGGGCGCAGUACCCCGUGCCCAGUUCUUCACGUACGGCACCGGCGACUGCACCUCGGGAGAAGGUGGCUGCGGCACUACCAGUUCAGAGACCGGCGACAGGGGCGGCAUUCCCCGUGAUGGCCGAGGGAGCCGAGCGGGAUCGGCUCAUGGAUCGCCUCAGUGAGUUAGGAAGUGCAGCCCGAGGACGUUUGAUGGCGAGAACGUCGACCACUGGAUUGUUGAGAAGUGGUUGAUGCAUAUGGAGAAACUUUUUCGAGACACCUUUGUGGAGGAGCGGGACAGAGUUUGGCUCGCCACUCACUUUCUGGACGGCGAGGCCUAUCGUUGGUGGUUGGAUAUCCAGGACAACCCCAACACCGAUUUGGCAGCGAUUACUUGGACGAGGUUCAAGGAGCUUCUUCUAGCGCACCACUUUCCUACCAGCGUUAAGAGGAAGAUGGAGCAGGAUUUGCGCAACUUGCGCCAGGACGAGCGGUUAGUGGCUGAGUACGAGAGGGAGUUCUCCCGGAUACUACACUGUAUACCAUUUGUUGUGAGGGAUGACAAGGACAAGGCCCGCAUAUUUGAGCGUGGUUUGCGGCCUUCUAUCUUCCGGUUGGUGCAGUCUUCCAACCUCCAGACCUAUCGGGAGGUUGUGGAUCGAGCAUUUAUAGUGGAGGCAGGAGCGGCGGAUUUGCAGGAGCGUCGCGAGAGCUCGGAGAAAGGGAAGGGAAAGAGGCCCGUGGCUGAGGGUGUGAGUCAGACGCACUCACGGAGGCCGCCGAGGCACCCCAGGAGCCGGAGCCAGUCGCGAGGACGUGGCUCAUUUACUCAGCGAGGAGGACCCGACCGUCGCCAGGCUCCCCGCUGCGUGAUCUGUGGUGGUCCCCACUACCCACGACAGUGUACACGCAGCCGGGGCAGGUGCUUCUUGUGUGGCCAGGAGGGCCACUUCCAGUCGGACUGCCCGAGGAGCCCAUUGCCAGCGCCAUCUUCGGCAUCUGCACCAGCAUCACCGGGUCCCAGUCAGGGGACAUCUUCUGCGCAUCACCAGGCCGAACGACCACCUGUUCAGCGACAGGCGGAGGGGUCACGACAGGCCCCCAGCGGCCGCUUGUACGCGGCCCAGACUGAGGAGGCGGCGGCAGCCGAGAAUGUGGUCGCAGGUAUCAUUUUACUUCAUGGCAUUCGAGUUAGAGCAUUGUUUGAUACCGGUGCAUCGCAUUCGUUCAAUGAUCGGCUGUUUGCCGAGCUGCAUGGCAUCUCACUUGUAUCCUUGUUGCACCCGGGACGAGUUGUUGUACCCGAUCAUUUCUUGGACAUUCGGGAGUUUUGCCCCAGCUGCCCUAUUCGGGUUGGAGAUUAGAUCAUGCCCAUAGAUUUGCUAGCCUUGCAUAAACUCGGGGAGUUUGAUGUUGUGUUGGGCAUGGAUUGGUUGACUAAGUAUUUCGCCACUAUCGAUUGUAAGGAUCGAACGGUGACUUUUAGAGAGCCAGGGCAGGCGGAGGUUGUGUACCGAGGAUGCCAGAGUUCACUGUUUGCGAUGACGAUUAGCUCCUCUCGAGCUAGGCAGUUGAUUAGUAGAGGCUGCGUAGCCUAUUUGGCUACUGUCGUGUUGCGGGGCAAUGCGGACGCCCCUAGGAUUGAGGAUAUCUCCGUAGUGCGGGAGUUUGGAGAUGUGUUUCCAGCAGAGCUUCCAGGCAUGCCUCUUGAUAGGGAGAUUGAGUUUGUGGUAGAUCUCGUCCCCGGGACUACCCUGAUCUCAAAGGCACCCUAUAGGAUAGCACCAGCAGAAUUAAAGGAGCUGAAGGCACAGUUGCAGGAUCUUCUGGAUAAGGGUUUCGUGCGACCGAGUGUGUCACCUUGGGGAGCACCGAUUUUGUUUGUAAAGAAGAAGGAUGGAUCACUUCGCUUAUGUGUGGACUAUCGUGAACUUAAUAAAGUCACGAUCAAGAACAAGUAUCCAUUGCCGAGGAUCGACGAUCUAUUUGAUCAGCUCCAGGGAUCUUGUGUAUAUUCCAAAUUUGACCUGCAGUCGGGAUAUCACCAGUUGAGGAUCAGACCUGAGGAUGUAUCGAAGAUGACUUUUAGAAUACGGUAUGGACACUAUGAGUUUACUGUUAUGCCGUUUGGGCUUACUAAUGCCCCGGCAGCUUUUAUGGAUCUAAUGAACCGUGUUUUCAAGCCUUAUUUAGACAGGUUUGUCGUGGUGUUCAUCGACGACAUUUUGGUCUAUUCCCGAAGUGAUGCGGAUCACGAGGAACAUUUGAGACUUGUACUUCAAGUGCUUCGGGAAAAGAAGCUCUAUGCCAAGUUGAAAAAGUGUAAAUUUUGGCUUAGAGAGGUGGCAUAUUUGGGUCAUUUGAUUCUGGAUCAGGCAUGGCCGUCGACUCGAGAAAAAUUGAAGCUAUCAAGGAUUGGCCGAGGCCGACGAGUGUGACCGAGAUACGGAGCUUCAUUGGUUUGGCCGGCUAUUACCGACGGUUCGUCGAGGGAUUUGCAAAGUUAUCUACUCCUCUCACGAGACUCACGCAUAAGGGCACCAAGUUUAUUUGGAAUGAUGCAUGUGAAAAGAGCUUCCAAGAGUUGAAGCAGCGAUUGACGACCGCCCCGGUCCUAACAUUGCCGACUGCUGGAGUAGGGUAUGUGAUUUAUAGUAAUCCUUCCUUUAAUGGAUUGGGCUGUGUGUUAAUGCAGGACAGAAAAGUGAUCGCGUAUGCAUCUCGCCAAUUGAAGGAUUAUGAAAGGAAUUACCCUACUCACGACUUAGAGUUGGCGGCCGUGGUCUUUGCAUUGAAGCUAUGGCGCCACUACUUAUACGGCGAGCGAUGCGAAGUAUAUACGGAUCACAAAAGUUUAAAGUAUCUAUUCACUCAGAAGGAGUUGAACUUGAUGCAGCGCAGAUGGUUGGAGCUACUCAAGGAUUAUGAUUUGACGAUACUUUACCACCCGGGCAAGGCUAACGUGGUGGCUGAUGCGCUAAGUAGGAAAUCGACGAAAAACUUAGCGAUGCUUGUGGUUACUCAACCGCCGUUGAUCGAGCAGAUGAAGCAGUUGGAGUUGGAGGUGGUGGCUCCUGAUACACCUUUGAGACUCAUGACUUUGGUAGUGCAACCUACACUUUUGGAAAAGAUUAAAGAAAAGCAAGCUUCCGACUCGGAGUUGCAAAAGAUUCGAGCUAAAAUGGUUGAUGGUUGCACUGGUGACUUCACUUUAGACGGUGAUGGAUUGAUGCAUUUCCGCGGACGACUUUGUGUACCGGCGGACUUGGGCAUUAAAGAGGAUAUUCUUCAAGAAGCCCACCGAGCACCAUAUGCUAUACAUCCGGGAGGCACCAAGAAGUACAAGGACUUGAAGUUGCUUUACUGGUGGCCCGGGAUGAAAAAGGAUGUUGGUGAGUUUGUUGCUAGAUGUUUAACUUGCCAACAGGUGAAGGCUGAGCACCGAGUUCCUGCAGGAAAGUUGCACAGUCUACCGAUUCCAGUGUGGAAAUGGGAAAAGAUCACCAUGGAUUUCGUGAUGGGAUUGCCUCGCUCACAGGCCGGGUAUGACGCUAUUUGGGUGAUUGUGGAUAGAUUGAUGAAAUCGGCACAUUUCAUACCUAUCCACACUACUUGGACUGGUGAGAGACUCGCACAGGUUUAUUUGGAUGAGAUUGUGCGAUUGCACGGGGUACCUACUUCUAUAGUAUCGGAUCGAGACCCCCGUUUUGUAUCCCACUUUUGGAGGAGCUUACAGGACGCUCUGGGUACGCGUUUGGACUUCAGUACAGCUUUCCACCCUCAGAGUGACGGGCAGUCGGAGCGUACUAUACAGACUCUCGAGGACAUGCUUCGAGCCUGCGUGAUUGACUUCCAGGGAGGAUGGUCGCAGCAUCUACCGAUGGCAGAGUUUGCUUAUAACAACAGUUAUCAAGCAAGCAUCAAGAUGGCACCGUUCGAGGCACUCUAUGGACGGAAGUGUAGAUCGCCACUUCAUUGGAGUGAAGUUGGCGAGAGAUUGGCUUUAGGCCCUGAUGUGCUUCAGGAAGCAGAGGACAAGAUUCGCAUUGCUCGGGAGCGAUUGUUGACGGCCUAGAGUAGGCAGAGGAGUUAUGCUGAUCGGCGUCGACGAAACUUAGAGUUUCAGAUUGGAGAUCACGUCUUCUUAAAAGUCUCGCCGAUCCGAGGGAUUAGAAGAUUUGGAAUCCGGGGUAAAUUGAGCCCCCGAUACAUUGAACCGUAUGAGGUUUUGGAGUGUGUAGGCCCGGUAGCAUAUAGACUUGCUCUACCGCCGAACCUAUCGGGUGUACACAAUGUAUUCCAUGUAUCGGUCCUUCGGAAGUACAUCCACGACCCGGCUCAUGUUUUGGACGCUACGCCUUUGGAGCUGAGGGAGGACCUGAGCUUUGAGGAGCAACCUUUAAGGAUUUUGGCUCGCGAAGUAAAAAGAUUGCGGAACCAUGAGAUUCCCUACGUGAAGGUGCUUUGGAGCAACCACGACGAGCACAAGGCCACUUGGGAGUUGGAGAGCGCGCUGCGAGAGCGCUAUCCCCAUCUUUUUCAGAUGGAGGCUUGAGGUAUCUUUACUUUUCGAGUUUCGUGGACGAAACUCCUUUUAGGAGGGGUGAAUGUAACACACUGGACCUUUGCAAAUUGCGAGGUCCGAGUGGUUGGUUGUGUGCUAAGCAAUUCCAGACUUUUUGGUGGGUCGUUGACAGUGUUUCGACCUAUGGCUCGCAUCCCGAGAAGUGAGGUUUAAAGCCUAGCACAAAAAUCCGAAAAAUCGGAUUUUUGGUCAGCUCUCGGGUAGUCUUCAGCAGAGCUUGUACCGGUACAAGGUUGAUGGCUGUACUGGUACAAGGCUGAUGGUUGUACCGGUACAAGGUGCUUGUACCGGUACAGGGCCGGUUACCCCGCCAACCCGAGCCUCGGGUUGUGAUUUUCGUGGGGCUUGUACCGGUACAAGGGCUUGUGUACCGGUACAAGGAGGCUGAUUUCGUGCAGUUUAAACU